AGGGAGGUUGUAGGGUAUUGAUAAACAUUGAAACAUUCUCUUCAUCGGACAACUUGGGCUUCACCUGAGCGGCCAAUCCUGCCCAUCUUUGGACAUACUCCCUGAAGGUCUCAUCAUUCCUCUUGGACAUCUUCUUGAGUAGCAUCCUAUCAGGAUUUUGGUCAAUAUUGUAGUUGUAUUGUUUAAGGAAAGUGUUGCACAAAUCCUUGAAACAUUUGAUAUGAGAACAUUCGAGACGCAUGUACCAAGUGA
rnacentral:lncRNA from 1 species